rnacentral:rRNA from 1 species
UUCAAUCAAGUACAUGUCGACGUAUCUAAGCCAAAGCAACAAAAAAAAGUUACCUAUGAGGAAGAUCCAGUAGAAAUAAAUGAGGAGGGGCCACCUAUAGCACUUCUAUGCCCACAAUUCAACUAAUAAAGAUGUCGACGCAACUGUCCAUGUCGAUGCAACCGAAUCCUUUACAACAACCCACUGAAAAUAUGCCUUUUCCAUCUUUACAGAGAUUCAAGGAGAAGGACCAUGACAAAGAUUAUUAAAAUUUUGUCUCUACCUUGAAGUAUUACACAUAACAUACCUCUAGUGGAUGCUCUUAUGUAGAUCCCCAAUUAUGGGAAAUUUAUGAAGGAGCUACAAUCAAAGAAGAAACAGUUGUUCGAAAUUGAGACGAUUGCACUCACAGAGGGGUGCAAUGCUAUGCUAACAAAUAAGUUACCACCAAAGAUGAAAGAUCCUGGUAGCUUCACAAUCUCAUGCUCUAUUGGAACCUAUUAUCUAAGUAAAUCCUUAUGCGAUCUAGGAGCGAGUAUUAACCUUAUGCCUUUGUCCACAUUCAGGAAGUUAGGAAUUGGAUCUAUGAAACCCACUACGAUGACAUUACAGCUUGCAGACAGAUCUUUAGCACAACCUAAAGUCCAGAUCAAAGAUGUCCUCGUUUACAUUAGUAAGCUUGUGUUCCCUGCCGACUUUAUCAUCCUUGACUAUGAAGUAAAUAAGGAGGUGCCCAUCAUCUUGGGAUGCCCAGUUUUAGCAACGGGGUGCACGCUUAUUGAUGUUUUCAAGGGUGAGCUCAUUAUGUGUCAUAAUGACGAGCAUGUUACUUUUAGUGUGUUUGAAGUAGCUCCAUCUACAAGUAAAGAGCAAUGUCACCACAUUGAUGUGCUGGACAAGGUAAUUAUAGAAAAAUUUAAUGAACGAAGUUCAGCAGUUCCAGAUGAAGAUGCAGUGACAACCACCGAUGAUAUUCUAACUGAAUGCGACCACAGGGUUGGCAAUUAGAAUCCUUGGAUUUGUCUAACAGACGAUCCCUGUGUUCAAACCAUCAAUCGAACAAGCUCCAACCUUGGAGUUAAAGCCAUUGCUGACGCAUUUGAAGUAUGUCUUUCUAGGAGAUAAUGACACAUUGCCUAUGAUUGUCAAUGCAAGCCUCAAUGUGAGUCAAGAAGACAAAUUUAUCGCAAUUUUGAAGCAAUACAAACGAGCCAUAGUCUAGAUCAUUUCAGACAGUGCACUGCUCGAGCUGCCUGCCGCGGCUGACGAGAGCGGGUCGCCGCGUGCCGGCCGGGGGACGGACUGUGGAACGGUCCCCUCCGGGGGCCUUCCCCGGGCGACGGAACAGGUUCGACUCAGAAACUGGUUACGGGACAAGGGGUAAUCCGACUGUUUAAUUAAAACCAAGCAUUGCGAUGGUCCCUGCGGUAUGCUUCACGCAAUGUGAUUUCUGCCCAGUGCUCUGGAAUGUCAAAGUGAUUUGAGAAAUUCAACCAAUCGCGGGUAAACGGCUGGGAGUAAACUAUGACUCUCUUUAAGGUAGCCAAAUGCCUCGUCAUCUAAUUAGUGACUCGCAUGAAUGGAUUAACGAGAUUCCCACUGUCCCUGUCUACUAUCCAGCGAAACCACAGCCAAGGGACGGGGCCUUGCGCAGACAAUCAGCGGGGAAAGAAGUACCUGUUGAGCUGUGACUUCUUAGGUCCGACUUUUGUGAAAUGACUUGAGAGGUGUAGGAUAAGUGGGACUUCUCGGGCGAAAUUAAAAUACCACUACUUUUUACGUUUAUUUACUUAUUCCGUGAAUCGGAGGCGUGGCACGGCCCCUCUUUUUGGACCCAAGGCCGGCUUCGGUCCGGUCGAUCCGGGCGGAAAGACAUUGUCAGGUGGGGAUUUGGCUGGGGCGGCACAUCUGUUAAAGAUAACGCCAGGUGUCCUAGUGAGCUCAACGAGAACAGAAAUCUCGUGUGGAACAAAAGGGGUAAAGCUCGUUUGAUUCUGAUUCCAGUCGAAUACGAACCGUGAAAGCGUGGCUAUCGAUCCUUUAAGACCUUCGGAAUUUGAAGCUUAGAGUGCGUGUCAGAAAAGUUACACAGGGAUAACUGGCUUGUUUUUUUUUUCUUGGCAGCCAAGCGUUUCAUAGCGACGUUGCUUUUUUUAUCCUUUGAUGUCGGCUCACUUUCCUAUCAUUGUGAAGCAGGAAUUCACCAAGUGUGGAUUGUUCACCCACCAAAUAGGGAACGUGAUCUGGGUUUAGACCGUCUGUGAGACAGGUUAGUUUUACCCCUACUGAUGGCCGCGUCGCCAAUUAGUAGUAAUUCAACCUAGUACGAGAGAACGUUGAUUCGCACAAUUGGUCAUCGCGCUUGUUGAAAAAGCCAGUGGCGCGAAGCUUACGUGCGCUUUGGAUUAUGACUGAACGCCUCUAAGUUCAGAAUCCGGGGCUAGAAGCGACGCACGCGCCCGUCGCCCGAUUGCGAACCCGCCAGUAGGGGCCCCUGGGCCCCAAGGGCACGUGUCGUAGGGUGGCAGCGGACCGCGCGACAAGUCGCCGGGCCGCCUCUUGCGAGCGUAAUUCCCACCGAGCGGCGGGGUUAGAAUCCUUUGCCAGACGACUUAAAUACGCGACGGGUGUAUUGUAAGUGCAGAGUGGCCUGCGCGCACAGACUCCACUGAGAUUCAGCCUUGUCGCUUUCGAUUCGCCCUCCCUCCUCG